AUAACCUACGGGGGGCAGCAGUGAGGAAUAUUGGUCAAUGGACGAGAGUCUGAACCAGCCAAGUAGCGUGAAGGAUGACUGCCCUAUGGGUUGUAAACUUCUUUUAUAUGGGAAUAAAAUGUUCCACGUGUGGGAUUUUGUAUGUACCAUAUGAAUAAGGAUCGGCUAACUCCGUGCCAGCAGCCGCGGCAAUACGGAGGAUCCGAGCGAUAUCCGGAUUUAUUGGGUUUAAAGGGAGCGGAGGUGGAUUGUUAAGUCAGUUGUGAAAGGUUGCGGCUCAACUGUACAAUUGCAGGUGA
rnacentral:rRNA from 1 species